UCCUGUCUCAGUAGGUCUGGGUGGAGCCUGAGGUCCUGAAAUUCUAAUGAGCUCUCAGGUAAAACCCUGACUACAGCCAGAGGA
rnacentral:miRNA from 1 species